UUAUUUUUUUACUGAAGUCGAGGUAUUUCGGAUUUUGCAGGGACAGACGAGGACACCCAGGCCCUUAUCUUGUGGCGAGCGGCAAAUCGGCCUUUGUUUACGGGCAAAAGGCAUGCCAGCGUGGAAGCAUACAAUGUCUUCUUAAAAGAAAGCGGCCUCGAGGGGAGGGUAGAUGCAAAGGCCCUGAAGAAAAGGUGGGAGAACCUUACCUCCAAAUAUAAGAGACAGUUCCUGGAGGUGCUGGUCCUGGUGCUGGUUGGUCCACUGCCCUCCCAACAUCAGCAUCAGCAUCUGGCUCCAGCAGGUCCCCGUUGCUCAUGCAGAUGUUGUGGAGCACAGUGCAGCAGACAAUGACCUCUGGCACAUACUUCACAUCCACCUCCAGGGCCUUGAGGAAGAUGGACCUCCAUCUGGUCUUCAGGACCCCAAAUGACCUCUCUACAACACACCUUGCCUUUGAAAGGUGGCAGUUGAAUCGAGCUUGGAGGUGGUUGCAGACAGGGUGCCUGUAGGGUGUCAUGAGGCAGAUGGGCUGGGACAAGCAGGGGUAGCCACCAUCUCCAAGGAUGCAGUAACCUGGUGGGGGGUAAGACUGCUGGUAGUAGAUGGGGCUGUUCUGCAGGACUCGGGCGUCAUGAACUGACCCACAGUAUCCCACGAAGAUGUCCAGAAACCGUCCAGUGUUGUCACAGAUGGCCUGCAGCUGGACUGAGUGGAACAACUUCCUAUUAAAAUAACAGGCAGCGUCCUCUGCAGGGGGCUUCACCCGAACGUGGCAACCAUCAAUGGCUCCUACCACUCUGUUGAAGGCUGCAGAUCCUGCUAGACGGGCGAAGCGGGACCCCAAGCGAGGGAGUUCCUCCGCAGUGGGAUGGCGGACCACUUGGGAGAGGAGAGCAGCAAUCUUUGCACUCACCCUGUGCACUGCCUGGUGAAUGGUUGACCGGGGCAUAUCGAA